rnacentral:pre_miRNA from 1 species
UAAGUACUCCCUCCGUCCGAAAAAGCUUGUCCCAAGCUUGUUCCUUAAAUGGAUGUAUCUAGCACUAACUUGGUGCUAGAUACAUCCAUUCGAGGGACAAGCUUUUUCGGACGGAGGGAGUAAUUU